rnacentral:sRNA from 1 species
GCUCGAUAGGUUUCUUGCCUGUAUGAAACCUGCCUCAAUAACUUAACGCCCGCUUCGUGCGGGCGUUUUUUUUGCCUCGA